CCAAUCCACAUUUCCCAGCUCCUGCCGAAUUUUGAUAUAAUUGGCCUUGGACCAGUUUAGUACUUUUCCCUUAGGACCACUCGUUGUCUUUGU